AGUGAACGCUGGCGGUAGGCCUAACACAUGCAAGUCGAACGGCAGCACAGUAAGAGCUUGCUCUUACGGGUGGCGAGUGGCGGACGGGUGAGGAAUACAUCGGAAUCUACUUUUUCGUGGGGGAUAACGUAGGGAAACUUACGCUAAUACCGCAUACGACCUACGGGUGAAAGCAGGGGAUCUUCGGACCUUGCGCGAUUGAUUGAGCCGAUGUCGGAUUAGCUAGUUGGCGGGGUAAAGGCCCACCAAGGCGACGAUCCGUAGCUGGUCUGAGAGGAUGAUCAGCCACACUGGAACUGAGACACGGUCCAGACUCCUACGGGAGGCAGCAGUGGGGAAUAUUGGACAAUGGGCGCAAGCCUGAUCCAGCCAUACCGCGUGGGUGAAGAAGGCCUUCGGGUUGUAAAGCCCUUUUGUUGGGAAAGAAAAGCGGCAGGUUAAUACCCCGCUGUUCUGACGGUACCCAAAGAAUAAGCACCGGCUAACUUCGUG
rnacentral:rRNA from 1 species